rnacentral:misc_RNA from 1 species
AAGUCGUAACAAGGUUUCCGUAGGUGAACCUGCGGAAGGAUCAUUAACGAGUUUUGAAAUGGGUUGUUGCUGGCCUUCCGAGGCAUGUGCACGCCCUGCUCAUCCACUCUACACCUGUGCACUUACUGUAGGUUGGCGUGGGUUUCUAGCCUCCGGGUUGGAAGCAUUCUGCCGGCCUAUGUACACCACAAACUCUUAAAGUAUCAGAAUGUAAACGCGUCUAACGCAUCUUAAUACAACUUUCAGCAACGGAUCUCUUGGCUCUC